rnacentral:tRNA from 1 species
GGUGUAGCUUAAUGGUAAAGCACUUGUCUCACACUUGGCAUGAAGCCUUAGGUUCACUCCCUAGCACC